rnacentral:tRNA from 2 species
AGACAAAAUGACGGAUAAACGUAAUAAAUUUAGAAUUUAUAAAUGAUAAAUUAUCCAAAUUAUAUCUAU